UACGUAGGUGGCAAGCGUUGUCCGGAAUUAUUGGGCGUAAAGCGCGCGCAGGCGGUCCUUUAAGUCUGAUGUGAAAGCCCACGGCUCAACCGUGGAAGGUCAUUGGAAACUGGGGGACUUGAGUGCAGAAGAGGAAAGUGGAAUUCCAAGUGUAGCGGUGAAAUGCGUAGAGAUUUGGAGGAACACCAGUGGCGGAGGCGACUUUCUGGUCUGUAACUGACGCUGAGGCGCGAAAGCGUGGGGAGCAAACAGG
rnacentral:rRNA from 1 species